ACCGAAUUGGUGUAGGGGUUAACAUGCGGGAUUCUCAAUCUAGAGUGAUUAUCCUGAGCCAGGAGUUCGAGUCUCCUAUUCGGUG